rnacentral:rRNA from 1 species
UACGUAGGGGGCGAGCGUUGUCCGGAUUCAUUGGGCGUAAAGAGCUCGUAGGCGGCUUGGUAAGUCGGGUGUGAAACCUCCAGGCUCAACCUGGAGACGCCACUCGAUACUGCCAUGGCUAGAGUCCGGUAGGGGCCCACGGAAUACCUGGUGUAGCGGUGAAAUGCGCAGAUAUCAGGAGGAACACCGGUGGCGAAGGCGGUGGGCUGGGCCGGAACUGACGCUGAGGAGCGAAAGCGUGGGGAGCGAACAGG